GGAUAAUUAAAAUUAUAAUAAACCAAAACUAUGUACUUUGCAUUUUACAUAUUAAAUUGUAGAAACUGAGUUACCAAAUUUCAGUGUCUUACACUUCAACAAUUCUUCUCUCUUGGCCAAAAUGCAUACAAAAACUGAUUCAGAAGAUACGAGCUUGGCUCCUUCGUCGCCGGACAAUAGAGGGCCGACGGCGUAUUACGUUCAGAGUCCGUCACGUGAUUCUCACGAUGGCGAGAAGACAACGACGUCGUUUCACUCUACUCCUGUUAUCAGUCCCAUGGGUUCUCCUCCUCACUCUCACUCAUCCGUCGGCCGUCACUCCCGUGAUUCCUCUUCCUCCAGAUUCUCCGGCUCCCUCAAGCCUGGAUCUCGGAAGAUUUUACCCGACGCCGCCGGAGGCGUCGGCGGCCGUCACCACCGCAAAGGGCAGAAGCCCUGGAAGGAAUGUGAUGUUAUUGAGGAAGAAGGACUACUUGAAGAUGAUAGAUCCAGUAAAUCUCUUCCACGUCGUUGCUAUGUCCUUGCUUUUGUUGUUGGUUUCUUCGUCCUUUUCUCCUUCUUUGCUCUCAUCCUUUGGGGUGCUAGUCGACCUCAGAAACCCAAAAUCACCAUGAGGACCAUAAAAUUUGAUCAUUUUGGGAUUCAAGCUGGUUCUGAUGCCACAGGAGUAGCAACUGAUAUGAUCUCCAUGAAUGCUACUGUGAAAUUCCUUUACCGUAAUACUGCAUCAUUUUUCGGUGUACAUGUCACAUCAACCCCUCUUGAUCUCUCAUUUUCAGAACUCACAAUUGGAUCCGG
rnacentral:misc_RNA from 1 species